rnacentral:rRNA from 1 species
GAUGAACGCUGGCGGCGUGCCUAAUACAUGCAAGUCGAGCGAACAGACGAGGAGCUUGCUCCUCUGACGUUAGCGGCGGACGGGUGAGUAACACGUGGAUAACCUACCUAUAAGACUGGGAUAACUUCGGGAAACCGGAGCUAAUACCGGAUAAUAUAUUGAACCGCAUGGUUCAAUAGUGAAAGACGGUUUUGCUGUCACUUAUAGAUGGAUCCGCGCCGCAUUAGCUAGUUGGUAAGGUAACGGCUUACCAAGGCGACGAUGCGUAGCCGACCUGAGAGGGUGAUCGGCCACACUGGAACUGAGACCCGGUCCAGACUCCUACGGGAGGCAGAAGUAGGGAAUCUGCCGCAAUGGGCGAAAGCCUGACGGAGCAACGCCGCGUGAGUGAUGAAGGUCUUCGGAUCGUAAAACUCUGUUAUUAGGGAAGAAAAAAUGUGUAAGUAACUGUGCACGUCUUGACGGUACCUAAUAAGAAAGCCACGGCUAACUACGUG